ACAUGGCUCAGGAUGAACGCUGGCGGCGUGCCUAAUACAUGCAAGUCGAGCGAACAGAUAAGGAGCUUGCUCCUUUGACGUUAGCGGCGGACGGGUGAGUAACACGUGGGUAACCUACCUAUAAGACUGGAAUAACUCCGGGAAACCGGGGCUAAUGCUGGAUAAUAUUUAGAACCGCAUGGUUCUAAAGUGAAAGAUGGUUUUGCUAUCACUUAUAGAUGGACCCGCGCCGUAUUAGCUAGUUGGUGGGGUAAUGGCUUACCAAGGCAACGAUACGUAGCCGACCUGAGAGGGUGAUCGGCCACACUGGAACUGAGACACGGUCCAGACUCCUACGGGAGGCAGCAGUAGGGAAUCUUCCGCAAUGGGCGAAAGCCUGACGGAGCAACGCCGCGUGAGUGAUGAAGGUCUUCGGAUCGUAAAACUCUGUUAUUAGGGAAGAACAAAUGUGUAAGUAACUGUGCACGUCUUGACGGUACCUAAUCAGAAAGCCACGGCUAACUACGUGCCAGCAGCCGCGGUAAUACGUAGGUGGCAAGCGUUAUCCGGAAUUAUUGGGCGUAAAGCGCGCGUAGGCGGUUUCUUAAGUCUGAUGUGAAAGCCCACGGCUCAACCGUGGAGGGUCAUUGGAAACUGGGAAACUUGAGUGCAGAAGAGGAAAGUGGAAUUCCAUGUGUAGCGGUGAAAUGCGCAGAGAUAUGGAGGAACACCAGUGGCGAAGGCGACUUUCUGGUCUGUAACUGACGCUGA
rnacentral:rRNA from 1 species